rnacentral:lncRNA from 1 species
CCACUAUGCAAAGCAGUUUCAAGUCUCCCUCCUUCUAAGUGGAUGUUUGCUUCUAAAUCCCUCUUAUAAAGACAUUCCAGCAGGCUGCUGAGGACCGCCUAAAUAAUGAGCUUCAGUGAGUUAGUUGCUUUAGUUGUCUGAGGAACAUAUUUAUUCUGUCAGAAACGUAAAAAUACUUUCAGUCAAAGCCCCGUCUUCAGGGUCCUCAAGAUAGAGAAAUUCUGCUUUGGCUUCAUACCCUUCAUCUCUAUUUUUGGAUCUCUUGAUUUGCUAGACGGUCUUUCUAUCCGCUUAAUCACUUUACUUAAAAAGGCAAGAAAAGCACAUGGAAUUUUGUCCUAGUUUUAGUGCGGUUCUGCCCUAAGACCAAGGCAAGAGUGGGGCUUUCCCCGCGCCCCUCACUUUAGAGGGACCUGUUUGGACUCCUCUGUGAGCUUCACCCUCGCAUGAGCUGCAGAGUCUACGGGUCAAGGGGACAUUCCCACCUAGGUCCACACCCCCAUGCUCCCCACUCCCUCAAUCCCUGGCUUGGACUCACACAGAUUAAAUUUGGAAACAGAAAUUCCAAGUAUGAAUAGUCCCAAGCCCACAUCCAGGGCUUUGCGCAGGUUUCUUUCCUGCAUCUGCCCUCCCAAAGGCUCACUUUGCUGCUCAGGUGCAUAGCACUGGGCCUGCAGUGUGCCUAGGGAAUGGCUCUUGGCUGGGGUGUUCGACUCGUGAACUCGGAGAGGCAGGUUGAGAAAUUCCAUCUGAAGAGUUUGGGCUUAGAGCUCCCUCGUAACUUAGAGAUGAUUUUUUAAAGGACUCAGGUGUCCAUCUUUGGUUCAGAAAAGAUGAUCUUGUACCUAAAUGUCUCCCAUGUUGCCAUUCCAGUCUCAAAUGUCAUACUGCAACAAGAAAAUAAAAUGGUCCACACAUAAAUGAAUGCUUGAUGUACAAUAAAGGUGCACUGCAGGGCAGCGGGAGAAAAAAGUCUUUCCAAUAAGUGGCACUAGGACAAUUGCGUACCAUGCUGGAAAAAGAAGAAAUUGAACUCCUAACUCACACAAAAGUCAAUUCCAGAGUUGAAUGGAACUGAUAUAAACAAUAGGCCGCCGAAUGACUAGUUGGUCAUCUGAAGGAAGAAUACCAAUAAGAAAAGGUCUUUCUUUCAUGAAACAGGUAAUGGAGAACUGAAAGCUCAUGGUGUGUUCAGAGAACAGCUAGCAGAGGAGAGGAGGAAAGAAGAGAAGGAAGGAAGAAGAUCAAGCUGAAAUGGUACUACGGGGACUCUUAAUGCUCCAUUAAGCCAAAUGGUUUGGACUUCAUCUGUAAGUAAUAGGGAGCCAAUGAAGAGUGUGGGACAGGAGAGUAAUUCAAUUCAGUAUGUAUUUUGAAUUGAUGGCUAUGAUAGUGACUAAGGAGAAUUAGAAAGUAGAGGCAGUUAGACUAGUUCGGUGGCUGUAGAAAUAGUCUAGGUGGGAGAGGAGGUCACAUUUCAAAGGACCUUGAAGAAAUGGGCACCUGUGGUGGAGAUAUUGUGUUGUCUCCCAAUGUCUGUUUGUUCCUUCUUGCUUUACUUAUAACCCCCCUCACCUUUCACUGGGUGCAUCUCCAUUCGGCAUAAAGAUUAAUCCCUGCCUCCUUGGCAGUUAGAUGGGGUCAUGUGUCUAAGGUCUGGCUAGCAGACAUAAAUGGAAGCAGUCUCUGCAACUUCUGCAGAAUGACCCUAACGGAAGGGAUUCACUUUUCUUUAUCUUUUCUCCUUUCUGAUGGUUGGAGGCUGGCCAUGGUGGCUACAACUGGAGCAGCCAUUUGGGUGGUGAGGUGAGUUCAAGAUGGAAGCCAAGCACAACCUAGAAGGACCCUGACUCCCUGACACCAUGGUUUGCCAUAUGGGACCUGGACUGAUUCCCUUUGGAACUUUAUCUGAGAGAAAUAAACUUCUGUCUUGCUUAAGCCAUUUUUAUGGUGUCUUUCUGUCAUUUGUAGCUAAUCCUAAUCCUAAUUUUUACAUUAUCCUUCCAUAAGCUGUGAAGAGCCACAAAAAGUUUUAU